GGGAUGUACAAAUUUGCACUCAGUUGAAAUGUACCGAGUGCAAAACUCAGAUAUAAGAGCGUCGAUUUGUUCGAUUGAUUAUGAGUUUUCUUUGAUAUUUGAAAAAUCAAUUUCUUCUCUCUUAUCUUUCUGAUAAAUUGCAUAAAAAUGCCUUGUGGACAAAACGGAUCUAACUACUGUUGCGAAAAGAACCAGUGUUGCGGCACUGCGUCCGCCGCUCCGCAACACACUGAUUGUUCCAGAUGCUGUACUGCUCCACCUCCUCAGGCCAAAGAUAAACACCAGUGCGGUAGAUGCCAUUCCAGCAAGCAAAACGGCCAAAAUCGUUGCUGUUGCGUCUGUGUCUGCGUCAAGUGUUGCGACCCGCAAUAUUGUUAAAUUUUUAGUCAUGCACCUGGAGAUUAUAUAUCUAGUUUUAUUGUAUGGUGAAUAAUUGUCUUUAAUUUCUUUCAGAAAAAAAGAAUAAUGAUUUUAGAAAUAUGCUAAUUAUGAUUUGAGCCAUAUUGAAUGCUCAUAAUGAUUUAAUUUUUGCUUUGAAAAAGUAUAUAAGAGAUUUUUUCUUUUAAUUUUUGUUAUCAUGUGAAGAAAAGAUUACAAGCAUUACACAAAUUGCAAAUAAAUUGUUUUAUGUUAUUA